GACGAACGCUGGCGGCGUGCCUAAUACAUGCAAGUCGAACGAGAGCGACCGGUGCUUGCACUGGUCAAUCUAGUGGCGAACGGGUGAGUAACACGUGGGUAACCUGCCCAUCAGAGGGGGAUAACAUUCGGAAACGGAUGCUAAAACCGCAUAGGUCUUCGAACCGCAUGGUUUGAAGAGGAAAAGAGGCGCAAGCUUCUGCUGAUGGAUGGACCCGCGGUGCAUUAGCUAGUUGGUGAGGUAACGGCUCACCAAGGCCGUGAUGCAUAGCCGACCUGAGAGGGUGAUCGGCCACAUUGGGACUGAGACACGGCCCAAACUCCUACGGGAGGCAGCAGUAGGGAAUCUUCCGCAAUGGACGCAAGUCUAACGGAGCAACGCCGCGUGAGUGAAGAAGGUUUUCGGAUCGUAAAACUCUGUUGUUAGAGAAGAACAAGUGCUAGAGUAACUGUUAGCGCCUUGACGGUAUCUAACCAGAAAGCCACGGCUAACUACGUG
rnacentral:rRNA from 1 species